rnacentral:lncRNA from 1 species
AUGACUACGACAACAACGACGACGACGACAACAACGAGAAGGACAACGACAACACCGACGACAACAACGAGGACUACGACAACGACGACGACGACAACAACAACGAGGAGAACAACGACAACAACGACUACAACAACAACGACUACAACAACGACGACAACGACAACGAGGAGGACAACGACAACACCACCAACAACAACGACAACAAGGAGGACGACGACGACAACAAGGACGACGAUGACUACGACUACAACGACUACUACGACCACAACGACGACGACCACAACAACAACGACAACUACUACCACGACGACGACAACUACUACCACGACGACGACCACCACCACCACCACCACCACAACCACAGAAAGUACAGUCGUCCCCGAGACUACAGUGCCCAUUGUUGUCACCCAGAGCCCGGUUCCUCUCUUGUACCCAACACUUGUCCCAUCCCUGGUUGUGGUCCCGUUGCUGCUUAUCUGCAUCUGCUGCUACAAGAGGGUCAUCAAGGAGCCACCAUCAGUCCAGAAUCCAAAAAAACCAUGCCCUGCACAGACCACAGUGAUUGUCUCCCGCUGUGAGUGCCAAGAAGACAGGAUAAGACAGAUGGAGGGAAAACUGGAUGUUUUUUAUCACUUUCUUCAGCGCUGCAGCCUGGUGCCAUGGAUGUGGUGUCAACCCAGGGACAUGGGGAGGUGCAUCGACUUUGCCUUAAUGAGUCCUCACUGCAUGCCAAUGCUCUAUGGCUCAGAGACCUGCCUUCAACCCAGUCAAGAGUGCCUCCCCCUCAAUAUCUGCUGCUCACGUUGUCAGCAUCCCCCACCGAUAUGCUCUCAGCCACCGUCCAGGAUGUUACCGCUGAUCCCUCCCCCAGAGGUCUACAGAAGUACUUUAUCUCUCCCGCCCCCAUAGCUCAACAUCUAAAGAACUUAAAACUGAAAAUUAGGAGCCCCUUUUGUACCAAAUUAGACAUAUAUAUAUAUAUAUAAUACAAUAUAUAUCUUGUGUUUUGGAUUACAGUCAAAAGGAGCUGGAAUUAGUUUCUGAUCAGCAGGAGAGUUUCUUGCCUGGGGAGCACUGCUCCUCUGUAUGAGACGCAACUGUACUCAUCUACCAGGACAAGGCACCCUGGUGUCCUGUGGAUGUAGACGUGAUGAGUCCCAUUCCCACAAGACAGACCUCCAUCUGUCACCAAGCGUUGAGAUGCAUGGGGUGUUAGACGAAAUAUGCUCUUUCAAGAAAGCCCCAAAUAUCUGAUAUAUGGAAAUAGUCUGGUGUCCAUUACUCACUUGCUGUUACUUAAUCUCCUGGGUGAGUUACGUAAUCUCCCUGUACUUCAGUUUCCUUACUGAAAAGAUGUGGAUAAUGGUGUCUCUUCUAAAAAGAGGGCGACAGUAACUGCUGCAACAUGCUCAGCACAAGGCCAGGUCACUUGUAAAGACUCAGGGGCCCAGGUCUUUAAGGUCUUCUCUGCUUCACCAGGGAAGGAGACAGUGAUGAGCUCAGAGACAUCAGCAAGUGUGUGGUGAGUGAAAAGAUGUUAGAAAAAAUCAUCACUGGAACUUUAAGCACUGGAUACCAUGACAAAGGGUUGGCAUACAUGAGAAUUCUCUGAAAACUGUUAACCACAGGAAGUUAACAUCAAAGGCCACCACCCAUGUAAUCUCCAAGAUACCAUCAGAAAAGGUCCUUCCACCACUAUGUCCUUGACAAACAUGAGUUCCCUUCGUGUACCUUAAUUUUUCUCAUAGAGUUAAUUCCUAGUUUCCAAUUUCCUAUCAGCUCCUCUGAUUUUUCCUAUCAGCUCCCAAUUUUCCAGGUCCCUUCUGAAGAAGCCUUUGAAGACAUAAUCAGGUUUCUUUGCACACUUAUAUGCUAGAGGACUAUCAGUAGACAAAAAUUCAUUGUGAAGAUCACACAACAUGUUUAUGAAGAUGAAUCAAUACCCUGGACCAAAGAGUCCCAGAUGAGUAGAAGUGGCUACUACCUCAAAUGUGUACAUACCAGUGCAACAAACAAGGGACCAUUAAGAAUCAAGUAAACAUGAGAAGAUGAAAAGAAGUGAAUAAAAUUCCCUAAAGAAAUAGAGAUCUAUGAACU